CAGUAGCCGCGGUAAUACGGAGGUGGCAAGCGUUGUCCGGAAUUGUUGGGCGUAAAGGGCUCGCAGGCGGUUUCUUAAGUCUGAUGUGAAAGCCCCCGGCUCAACCGGGGAGGGUCAUUGGAAACUGGGAAACUUGAGUGCAGAAGAGGAGAGUGGAAUUCCACGUGUAGCGGUGAAAUGCGUAGAGAUGUGGAGGAACACCAGUGGCGAAGGCGACUCUCUGGUCUGUAACUGACGCUGAGGAGCGAAAGCGUGGGGAGCGAACAGGAUUAGAUACCCGUGUAGUCCCUGUCUCUUAUAC
rnacentral:rRNA from 1 species